rnacentral:rRNA from 1 species
UACAGAGGUCUCAAGCGUUGUUCGGAUUCAUUGGGCGUAAAGGGUGCGUAGGCGGCGUGGUAAGUCGGAUGUGAAAUCUCGGAGCUUAACUCCGAAACUGCAUUCGAUACUGCCGUGCUUGAGGACUGGAGAGGAGACUGGAAUUCCCGGUGUAGUGGUGAAAUGCGUAGAUAUCGGGAGGAACACCAGUGGCGAAGGCGGCUUUCUGGUCUGCUCUUGACGCUGAGGCGCGAAAGCUAGGGUAGCAAACGGG